UACGUAGGCAGCAAGCGUUGUUCGGAGUUACUGGGCGUAAAGGGUGUGUAGGCGGUUGGAUAAGUGUGGUGUGAAAUCUCCCGGCUCAACUGGGAGGGUGCGCUACAAACUGUCUGACUAGAGUGUGGGAUGGGAAAGUGGAAUUCCUGGUGUAGCGGUGAAAUGCGUAGAUAUCAGGAGGAACACCGGUGGUGUAGACGGCUUUCUGGACCAAUAACUGACGCUGGAGACACGAAAGCGUGGGUAGCAAACAGG
rnacentral:rRNA from 1 species